GCUGACAGAAGGGCUGGUGAGCUGCUCUGGCCGCAUUACAUGCGUACCAUUCCGUCGUUGUCGGUGGUGACGUUCUCGCCGGAGUGGCAAUUGCUGAAGCAGGCUGAGCUUCUGCCGGAAGUUCCCGGUGCUGUCGCGACCGGUCGGACCGGAUAAAACCGUCUGCCAGUACCGGACUACGCGGGAUAUUCCCUUGCAGCCCCUUCAUCUGGCGGAUGCGCGCCUGCAGACCGAGCCGGACGACGUGCUGUCAUCCGCCUGCGUUUUGAGUGUGCAUGCAAGGUGGACUGGGCGAAAAGCGGGAUUGAUAAGGUGGCCAUUUACCUCGAUGCCGACAGCCCGGUGCCUCGGCCCUGCAUCUGCGCUGACCGCCGGGUGCAUGCGAUGUAUGCCCGCCACGCCGCAACCCGCACCGAACGCAUCCGUUUU
rnacentral:rRNA from 1 species